rnacentral:rRNA from 1 species
UUGGCUCAGGAUGAACGCUGGCGGCGUGCCUAACACAUGCAAGUCGAACGGACCCAUGGAAAUGAUUAGCUUGCUAUGAAAUUCCGGAAGGUUAGUGGCGGACGGGUGAGUAACGCGUGGGCAACCUGCCCUGUACUGGGGGAUAGCAGCUGGAAACGGCUGGUAAUACCGCAUAAGCGCACAGUACCGCAUGGUACAGUGUGAAAAGCUCCGACGGUACAGGAUGGGCCCGCGUCCGAUUAGCCAGUUGGCGGGGUAACGGCCCACCAAAGCAACGAUCGGUAGCCGGCCUGAGAGGGCGGACGGCCACAUUGGGACUGAGACACGGCCCAGACUCCUACGGGAGGCAGCAGUGGGGAAUA